rnacentral:rRNA from 1 species
GACGAACGCUAGCGGCGUGCCUAAUACAUGCAAGUAGAACGCAGUUGCGAACGGGUGAGUAACGCGUAGGUAACUGCCUCAUAGCGGGGGAUAACUAUUGGAAACGAUAGCUAAUCCCGCAUACUGUGAGAUGGACCUGCGUUUGAUUUGGUAGUUGGUGAGGUAAUGGCUCAACAAGGCGACGAUACAUAGCCGACCUGGGAGGGUGAUCGGCCAACCUGGGAAUGAGACACGGCCCAUAUGCCUACGGGAUGCAGCAGGAGGGAACUUUCGGGAAUGGACGGAAGUCUGACCGAGCAACGCGGCGUGAGUGAAGAAGGUUUUCGGAUCGUAAAGCUCUGUUGUUAGAGAAGCGGUGACUAACCAGAAAGGGACGGCGAACUACGUGACAGCAGCCGCGGUAAUAC